CCUACGGGAGGCAGCAGUGAGGAAUAUUGGUCAAUGGGCGCGAGCCUGAACCAGCCAAGUAGCGUGAAGGAUGACUGCCCUACGGGUUGUAACCUUCUUUUAUAAAGGAAUAAAGUGAGGCACAUGUGUCUUUUUGUAUGUACUUUAUGAAUAAGGAUCGGCUAACUCCGUGCCAGCAGGCGCGGUACUACGGAGGAUCAGAGCGUUAUCCUGAUUUUGUGGGGUUAAAGGGAGCGUAGAGGGGUUGUUAAGUUAGUUGUGAAAGUUUGCGGUUCAACCGUAAAAUUGCAAUUGAUACUGGCAGUCUUGAGUACAGUUGAGGCAGGCGGAAUUCGUGGUGUAGCGGUGAAAUGCUUAGAUAUCACGAAGAACUCCGAUUGCGAAGGCAGCUUACUAAACUGCCACUGACAGUGAUGCUCGAAAGUGUGGGUAUCAAACAGGAUUAGAUACCCCGGUAGUC
rnacentral:rRNA from 1 species